GUCUGCUGCAAACACUUGGGAGAAGAACACCACCCAGCUAGAGCUACUGCUCAGAUCAUCUUGGUAGUAAGGCAUCAGUGAGAAAAAGGAAUUUACAAGCAAGGAGUGAGUGGGCGUGGAGUAAGCUAAGGAAGAGGGCUGGCGGGGAAUGGAGACAAAGAAGCCAAGCAAGCAGCUGGAAGGAGAGAGAGGAAGAUAUGCAGCCAGAUUCAGGACUAAAACCGUGGUUCCUGACUGGGAGACCUGUACCAAGGAACUGUGGGACUAAGGCUGGUUUGUAGGGUACACCUCCAAAGGUGGAAUAAGAACUUAAGGUGUUAAAUGUGUGCAUUUGCAGGAUCAUUAUUAGCCUUGCUAGUAAUACUGUCACUAUUGCAAUACUGUGAUGAUGUGAUACUACAUAUUGAUCUGGUCUUGUUCUUUAGUUUUGGCCCAUUGUCCUGUGAACCACGACCCUACAUACGAAGUUGGAAACCCCAAGUGGCUCAUCCUGUGUUCUUGGGUACAUUUUGACUUGGGGUACACGACACCAAGGUGACUGCACAAGCGGAAAGCUGUAAUUAUGUGGCUCUGAUAGGCUGUAGUUCAGCUUGAUGAUAUGUACUUGGCAUGUAAAGUGGUAAUAAAAAAUCUAACAAUACAAUAAUCACUGGCAAACUAAAAAAACGGUGCUGUGAAGAAGAGGAGGGCUUAUUAUUUAAAACAGCUCACUAAUACAGUGGGGUUCCUAGUGGAAACUGCAAUGGGUAAAAGCCCAGUGCAUGGUGUUAGCACAUCAACAAAACCACAGAUGGCGUAUCAGGGCACUGUAAUUGGAACAUUUAAAAUGGGUGUGGCUGUCCUGCAGGAGAACCCCAAAUCAAAAAGGUUGGUUGCUGUAAAAGCCAGGCAAUAACCUUCAAUGAAAUGCAGGAAAACUGGCAUGCUAUGGACACAGACAGAGUUGACAUUUUUUUUGUAUGAUCUGGCCCCUGAACAUGCUUUGUGCAUGUGUUAUGCCACAGCUGUAUCUGUAGAGCACUUUAAAAAUGUUCCAGUGCAAAAAAUUAACCCUUGU